GCACCCGUAGUUCAGUUGGAUAGAAUGCCAGACUACGAAUCUGGAGGUCGGAGGUUCGAAUCCUUCCGGGUGCGCCA
rnacentral:tRNA from 1 species